CAAACUUUGAAACUUUAUUGUCCGCUCGGAGAAACAGACAAGCGGUCACGUCCCCGCCCUCUUCCGCCAAAGUCCUCUGGCGGCAGCGGAGCGGGGGAGGCGCACCCGGCCUCUGGGUCCCACUGUCUCCGCCUGGAGGCACCGGGAGCGGCCGGGACCCUCCUCCCCCGCGGGGCCCGCGGACCGCAGUUUCCAGGCCCGGAGCUGCCCGCCAGGCCUCGGAGCCUCGGACUUUGGGACUUGUGCCUUUGUGUCAUCACUUGGUCUGGAGCUACAGGGUAAGCCGUAAACCGCUGAUGGCGACCCUGAAAAAGGAAUAAACACCGUAAACAGCCAUCCUCCGCGCCUAGGAGCUCAUAUCACCUCCUUGUUAGUACGGUGAGACAGGGCCCGGGCGGCUGCCUUCCAGGCUUGACUUCGGGUCUCAAGUGUAGAAGCUGGCUCCAAAAAUUCCUUUGCUUCUUGAAGAUUAAACACCACAGAGAAAACAACAAGGAGUCAGAAAAAGAAUUGUGCGGGUUCUUCACUCGGACUGUGCACACUGGAUGAGAAGGAGCAGGUGAUCCAUUCAUUCAAUAAGUUCUUCACCAUGCUCCUUACUGAAGACCUACUAUGCACCAAGCACUGUGGUAGCACUGGAUUCAGCGGUAAAUAAAGCACAGUCAGUAGGAGUGCACCUGCAUCAACAGAGUCACUUCUGGAUUCCACACUGAAGUUCACAUAGGAAAAACAUUCUGAAAAUACUUCUUCAUCUUUAUCUCUGCACAAUAGCUCAGUUUUGAGCCCCUUUUUAUGUGUGACAGUCUAUAGCAGAGCUCUUCUGUUGAUCCCAACAUUACAACUUAUCUGACACUUUACACUUUUAUCUUCUUGAAGGAAGAAUACACUGUCACCAAAUAAACUUGUUAAUAAAGUGA